rnacentral:tRNA from 1 species
GGAGCAAUACCCAAGCGGUGAAGGGGCGUCCCUGCUAAGGACGUAGGUCGGGUAACUGGCGCGAGGGUUCAAUUCCCUCUUGCUCCGCCA